GCAGGUUUACACAGGAGCAUGAAGAGCCUCCAGGGGUGGGAAAGUGCCUUAACCCUUUGGUGGAGGGAGCGGGAGAACAGCAGGCUAUCACAAAUAUGAUCAAAUUCAUCAGAUGGAUAUGUUGGAGUUGGACUUUGGACGAACAUUUGAAAGUUUUUCUUUGUUUUUAAAGCAAGUGUCGGAAUAAGUUGAGUACCAUUAUCAGUGAAAUGUACGGUAAAGACAUUCAAUCUUAACAAUCUAGUCAGCUGGGAUAGGGUUCAGCUAACCCGCGAUUAACGGCGACUAGCGCGAUAUAGAAAAUGGACGGGUGGAGCUACCAUUCAACUAUCGCAUCAAAAGGACAAAGCAGAAAAGCUAAGAAAGUAGACAGGCAAAAUGAGAGGAGAAAAAUGAAGCUCAAGUUGAGAAGUUGCCAGUAGCCAGCAGGCUGGAAGCUACAGGGAGCAAGUAUUUAAGGUGUCACCGGAGGAAAAAAAUCUGCCAUCUUGCAAUCCAACGUCUGCACGGACAAGCCUGUUGAUAAAGGAGACAUUAAUGAGAGGCCAAAGAAAUGCUCAGUUGAUGUCCCGAUAUGGCGGACAACUUCCACAAAUCGAUGCUGCAUCUACCGUCAUAGACGCACAAUAAUAGCAUCAUGUUCGCAUUUUGAGCAAGCAACUGAAUCGUUUCAGAUUGACAAUUUGCUUCAAAGUUUUUUCUUGACAACAUGCAAACGCCAUGGGCAUGUCCAAGUAGAGA